rnacentral:lncRNA from 1 species
AUGGUGAAGGUCGGUGUGAAUGGAUUUGGCUGUAUUGGGCGCCUGGUCACCAGGGCUGCCAUCUGCUCUCCACAUGGCAAAGUGGGGGUUGUUAACAUCAACAAUCCCUUCAUUGAUCUCAACUACAUGGUCUACAUAUUCUAGUAUGACUCCACCCGUGGCAAAUUAAAGGCACAGUCAAGGCCGAGAAUGGGAAGCUUGUCAUCAAUUGGAAGCCCAUCACCAUCUUCCAGGAGCGAGACCCCGCUAACAUCAAAUGGGGUGAGGCCGGUGCUGAGUAUGUCGUGGAGUCUACUGGUGUCUUCACCACCAUGGAGAAGGCCGGGUCCCACUUGAAGGGUAGAGCCAAAAGGGUCAUCAUCUCUGCCCCUUCGGACGAUGCCCCCAUGUUUGUGAUGUGUGUUAACCAUGAGAAAUAUGACAACUCACUCAAGAUUGUCAGCACUGCAUCCUGCACCACCAACUGCUUAGCCCCCCCUGGCCAAGGUCAUCCAUGACAACUUUGGCAUCGUGGAAGGGCUCACAAUCCCAUGCCAUCACUGCUACUCAGAAGACUGUGGAUGGUCCCUCUGGAAAGCUGUGGCCGUGGGGCUGCCCAGAACAUCAUCCCUGCAUCCACUGGUGCUUCCAAGGCUGUGGGCAAGAUCAUCCCAGAGCUCAACGGGAAGCUCACUGGCAUGGCCUUCCAUGUUCCCACCCCCAAUGUGUUCGUCGUGGAUCUGACGUGCCCCCUGGAAAAACCUGCCAAAACAUCCAGAAGGCGGUGAAGCAGACAUCUGAGGGCCCACUGAAGGGCAUCUUGGGCUACCCUGAGAACCAGGUUGUCUCCUGCGACUUCAACAGCAACUCUCACUCUUCCACCUUCGAUGCCGGGGCUGGCAUUGCUCUCAAUGACAACUUUGUCAAGCUCAUUUCCUGGUAUGAUAAUGAAUACGGCUACAGCAACAGGGUGGUGGACCUUAUGGCCUACAUGGCCUCCAGGGAGUAA